rnacentral:rRNA from 1 species
CCCUUAGAUGUCCUGGGCCACACGCGCGCUACACUGACAUGUUCAACAAGCCUCCUAGUUCGACAGGAUUUGGGAAAUCUUUGAACGCAUGUCGUGAUAGGGAUAGAUCAUUGCAAUUAUUGAUCUUGAACGAGGAAUUCCUAGUAAACGCGAGUCAUCAGCUCGCAUUGAUUACGUCCCUGCCCUUUGUACACACCGCCCGUCGCACCUACCGAUUGAAUGUUUCGGUGAAGAUUCCGGAUAGGACUUUUUUGAUUUAUUUCAAUUCUGUCUUAAAAGCUAUCUAAACCUCAACAUUUAGAGGAAGGUGAAGUCGUAACA